rnacentral:rRNA from 1 species
CAGCAGCCGCGGUAAUACGAAGGGGGCUAGCGUUGCUCGGAAUGACUGGGCGUAAAGGGCGCGUAGGCGGCGGCCAAAGUCAGGCGUGAAAUUCCCGGGCUCAACCUGGGGGCUGCGUUUGAUACUUGGUUGCUUGAGUGGGGAAGAGGGUCGUGGAAUUCCCAGUGUAGAGGUGAAAUUCGUAGAUAUUGGGAAGAACACCGGUGGCGAAGGCGGCGACCUGGUCCUUUACUGACGCUGAGGCGCGAAAGCGUGGGGAGCAAACAGGAUUAGAUACCCCCGUAGUCCCUGUCUCUUAUAC